rnacentral:rRNA from 1 species
CAUACCCUUGUCUCAAAAAUUAACCCAUGCAUGUCUAAUUAUAAACAACUUUAUACUGUGAAACUGCAAAUGGCUCAUUAUAUCAUUUAUAGUUUAUUUGAUGGUCCUUACUACUUGAAUAACCGUAUUAAUUCUAGAGCUAAUACAUGCAGCAAUCCCCAACUUCUGGAAGGGGUGUAUUUAUUAAAUGGAAACCAAUGCGGGGCACCCCGGUUCAUGGUGAUUCAUAAUAACUUUCGAAUCGAUCGCAAAAUCGAUGCAUCAUUCAAGUUUCUGCCCUAUCACCUUUGGAUGGUAGGGUAUUGGCCUACCAUGGCUUUAACGGGUAACGAAAAAUUAGGGUUCUAUUCCGGAAAGGGACCCUGAGAAACGGCUACCACUUCCAAGGAAGGCACCAGGCGCGUAAAUUACCCAAUCCUGACACAGGGAGGUAGUGCCAAUAAAUAACAUUGCUGGGCCUUUAUGGCCUGGCAAUUGAAAUAAAAACAAUUUAACUCCCUUAUCGAGGAUCAAUUGAAGGGCAAUUCGGGU